GCACUACUAUAGCAACUCAAUCCUAGUGCCAAUUUUGUAACAAGAAAUGGGGAGCACAUCCGUUCUAUUCCUCGCAUUUUCCCUCCUGAUGUUAUCGUCAGCUAUGGUAACUUCUAAGCCCGUAUGCAAACAUAUCAUCAAAAAGGGCACAUAUAAGAACGACGAUUGUCUAUCUUAUUACAAGCAGUUCAUCUCCCCUCCCGGUGGCCCAUCUGCCAUGUGUGUACCUGAGGGAUGCCAGUGUUAUCAGUGCGGAGGAUUUCCUCCAAACUGGUCAUCUAGCUAAUAGAAUAUACAUGGAUGCAUCACAGUUGCUUGAGUGAUGAAUAAUAAUAAUUCGAGUAAUCUAGCAUAA